rnacentral:rRNA from 1 species
ACGGAGGGUGCAAGCGUUAAUCGGAAUUACUGGGCGUAAAGCGCACGCAGGCGGUUGGAUAAGUUAGAUGUGAAAGCCCCGGGCUUAACCUGGGAAUGGCGCUUGUGACUGCAAAGCUGGAGUGCGGCAGAGGGGGAUGGAAUUCCGCGUGUAGCAGUGAAAUGCGUAGAUAUGCGGAGGAACACCGAUGGCGAAGGCAAUCCCCUGGGCCUGCACUGACGCUCAUGCACGAAAGCGUGGGGAGCAAACAGGA